rnacentral:rRNA from 1 species
UGGGCGUAAGGGCUCGCAGGCGGUUUCUUAAGUCUGAUGUGAAAGCCCCCGGCUCAACCGGGGAGGGUCAUUGGAAACUGGGAAACUUGAGUGCAGAAGAGGAGAGUGGAAUUCCACGUGUAGCGGUGAAAUGCGUAGAGAUGUGGAGGAACACCAGUGGCGAAGGCGACUCUCUGGUCUGUAACUGACGCUGAGGAGCGAAAGCGUGGGGAGCGAACAGGAUUAGAUACCCUGGUAGUCCACGCCGUAAACGAUGAGUGCUAAGUGUUAGGGGGUUUCCGCCCCUUAGUGCUGCAGCUAACGCAUUAAGCACUCCGCCUGGGGAGUACGGUCGCAAGACUGAAACUCAAAGGAAUUGACGGGGGCCCGCACAAGCGGUGGAGCAUGUGGUUUAAUUCGAAGCAACGCGAAGAACCUUACCAGGUCUUGACAUCCUCUGACAACCCUAGAGAUAGGGCUUUCCCUUCGGGGACAGAGUGACAGGUGGUGCAUGGUUGUCGUCAGCUCGUGUCGUGAGAUGUUGGGUUAAGUCCCGCAACGAGCGCAACCCUUGAUCUUAGUUGCCAGCAUUUAGUUGGGCACUCUAAGGUGACUGCCGGUGACAAACCGGAGGAAGGUGGGGAUGACG